UCGUAUUCGGGUCUGUGGUUGCAAACCGAAGCCAGACGCGGGCAAAACGGUCCACGUAAGUUGAGCUAUGUCUCAAUGAGCAUGGCGCGUUCUAGAAGUAAGACCGACCAACAGAAAAGUUGAGAGAAGGGGCGUAGGGCGCUCUUGCGAUGAGCAAACCUUCCUGUCGGCGAGUGUGGGGGCAAAAACCAGGUCAGCCGAUGCGA
rnacentral:ncRNA from 1 species